UUGAGCACUUCCAAGGAGGGACAUCCAGAGCUUCUCUGGGCAACCUGUGCCAGGGCCUCAGCACCUUCACAGUAAAACCUGCAGCAUUUCCUAAUACAAAUCCCUUUUCUCCCGGUGUUGGUUUCGCAUUAGACUUCCCAGCUUAAAAGCUGUUUUGUAUGAAAUCAGCCAGUGAAAGUUCCACAUUUGCCAGAUGUUCAGCUGAGUAAAACCCUCAGUAAAGAUUUUUGGAAGGUCACUUCCUGGAGAACCAGCCUUUUCCCUGCCAUCCAAAUCGAGGUCUGGAUUUGCUGAAUCUUUUGAUCAAACACUAUCUGCAGUUUCUCUAAGUCAGUCCUGUGUAGGACAAGGAGCUGGACUUCAAAUGAACCUCGUGGAUCCCCCCCAGCUCAGGAUAUUCUGUGAGUGAUGCACAGAGGAAUGGAAGAACUGACCAGUCAGGGAGGCAGCGCCAGUAGAAGUUGCUCUCACUUAAUCCCUGCCAGUGAGGUUGACCAAAGCCAGAAUCACAGGAUCACAGCACCUUAGAAUGGUUUGAAUUGGAAAGAACCUUAAAGAUGACCUAGUUCCACCCCCCCUGCCAUGGCAGCUGGCAUUUAGUGGAGGAGUGUUAGCUCCAUCCCAGUACUCUGUCAGACACAGCUCUGACCAUCUGACUUAAAAGGACCUGGAAAACAGACUGGGAAUGCCUGGGAGGAAAUAGCUGUCCUGCAGAACCACAGAUGCCAAAGCAAAAUGUUAGCCCUACAUGUGACAAAACCUGC